rnacentral:lncRNA from 1 species
CGCAGAGGUUGAACCCUGAACGGUUGGGGCAAGUAUGGACACAACAUUCAAGCUGGAUACAGCUCUAAAUUUGGAUUGUGAUUAAAUAGUUGACACAGCAUAGGUUUCUGACACAGAAUGAAUGUGGUCUAAUGAACUUAAAAAAAAUUUUUUGCCUUUGAGCAAUUCACUAUGCUGUUGAAUAUUAAUCCUCUCAAAAAAAUGUUUGAAGAAAUUUUCUUUUUAUUUAUGAAAUCUGAAAUGAGAAAAAAUUUAACCCCCCCCCCCCCAUUUUUUUUUCACAUCCCCCUUUCCCUUUUACCAAAACUGAUCUCAAUUCAAAUUUCUAAUGGAGUUUGCAACAAUAACUACUCAUUUAAAUACAUCAUAAAAUAUUAAAAUGUAACAAAAGGUGCUUGUUAUCACUGAAUGGUAAAGAUUGUUUUAAUUUAUCAGUUGGUAGUAAAAGUGAAUAUACAUUGUAUAUUGUAUAAAACAAUGAUUUAAGUUGACUCAACUACUAUUCUGGACAAAGAAAGAUA